CACUGUGGAAUUCGCCCUUAGAGUUUGAUCCUGGCUCAGGAUGAACGCUAGCGGGAGGCUUAACACAUGCAAGUCGAGGGGCAGCACGAUGUAGCAAUACGUUGGUGGCGACCGGCGCACGGGUGAGUAACACGUAUGCAACCUACCCUGUACUGGGGGAUAGCCCGGAGAAAUUCGGAUUAAUACCCCAUGAUAAUAUUGAGAGGCAUCUUUUAAUAUUUAAAGUUUCGACGGUACGGGAUGGGCAUGCGCAACAUUAGCUAGUUGGUAGGGUAAUGGCCUACCAAGGCUACGAUGUUUAGGGGACCUGAGAGGGUGAUCCCCCACACUGGUACUGAGACACGGACCAGACUCCUACGGGAGGCAGCAGUGAGGAAUAUUGGUCAAUGGGCGCAAGCCUGAACCAGCCAUCCCGCGUGCAGGAAGAAGGCGCUAUGCGUCGUAAACUGCUUUUCCGGGGGAAGAAAACCCGUUACGUGUAACGGCUCGCCGGUACCCCGGGAAUAAGCAUCGGCUAAUCCGUGCCAGCAGCCGCG
rnacentral:rRNA from 1 species